rnacentral:rRNA from 1 species
UACGAAGGGGGCUAGCGUUGCUCGGAAUCACUGGGCGUAAAGGGUGCGUAGGCGGGUCUUUAAGUCAGGGGUGAAAUCCUGGAGCUCAACUCCAGAACUGCCUUUGAUACUGAGGAUCUUGAGUUCGGGAGAGGUGAGUGGAACUGCGAGUGUAGAAGUGAAAUUCGUAGAUAUUCGCAAGAACACCAGUGGCGAAGGCGGCUCACUGGCCCGUUACUGACGCUGAGGCACGAAAGCGUGGGGAGCAAACAGG